rnacentral:rRNA from 1 species
CAGCACCUCAAGUGGUCAGGAUGAUUAUUGGGCCUAAAGCAUCCGUAGCCUGCUUUGUUAGUUUUCGGUUAAAUCCAUACGCUCAACGUAUGGGCUGCCGGGAAUACUGCAAAGCUAGGGAGUGGGAGAGGUAGACGGUACUCGGUAGGAAGGGGUAAAAUCCUUUGAUCUAUUGAUGACCACCUGUGGCGAAGGCGGUCUACCAGAACACGUCCGACGGUGAGGGAUGAAAGCUGGGGGAGCGAACCGGAUUAGAUACCCGCGUAGUCC